UUAUUUUUAUUUUUAGAGCGCCAUAUAUUAUCCACAAUUAACUCACAUAACCAGCCUCUCCACUAAUUAGGGUUUUGAUUGAAUAUUAAAACAAGAAACAUAAUACUACGUACCCUUAUACAUCAUUCCAUCAACCUCUGAAUCGAAGAACUGGAGCUUCUGCAGAAGGUAUGAUUCUUUUGCUGCUGCUGGAUUGAGGUUCUGUUUGUGCUUCUGUUUGACAG
rnacentral:lncRNA from 1 species